rnacentral:lncRNA from 1 species
CCUGGGAACAGCCCAGAGGAGGCUGGUCAAUUCUUGGCUCCACACACUCUCUUGUGGUGGUCUGGAUCUCCUUUUCCCAGUCCCCUCUCCCUGCCCGCCCCCAAACGGAAAGCAGGCAAAGCCAACCGAGUCUCCUUUGCCUUGUGACCCAGGUGAGUCCCCACCCGUGAAGGGCACUGUGAAGGAGGUGCUGGACACACUGACCAAGCUGACUUCAAAGAUGGACUUUCCUCCUCCUCCUCCAAUGACUCCAGUUUAAGCCUCACACCAGCCCUCUCCAAAUGCCAAAUGAGGAAAAUCUCCAGUCACAGUGAUCUAGCUGAUGCCCCUGCUUCCCAGGAUCUUGGCCAUGGUGAACUUGACCCACAGAGGUAAUAUUACAUUAAGUGCUUGCUAAGUACUGGGGUAGAUACAGGCUAUAA